CGGCAAGAGCUCAGAUUUGAAAUCCGGCGCGGCCCCCGCGCCCGAGUUGUAAUCUGGAGAGGAUGCUUCGGGUGUGGCCCCGGUCUAAGUUCCUUGGAACAGGACGUCACAGAGGGUGAGAAUCCCGUACGUGCCCGGUGGCCGCCCCCGUGUGAAGCUCCUUCGAC
rnacentral:rRNA from 1 species